GCAGUUGUUUCAGUUUCUGUGAUGGAAGACUGAAUUUAAUUCUUUUUUCUAUUCAAACUGCAGCUGGCCACCUCUUCAGAUUACAUGAUACUAAAGUAUGUUAGGUAAAAAUACAAAUACAUGUCAAUUGGAUUUUCAGAAAUCUUUGAUUGAUCAUAGGUCCCUUUACAUAGCCUUAAUAGUAAUAAGUCCAAUUUCACACCAGGCUAAGUUACACAGCCCCUUCACAGAACCUGAGCUUAGCAUGCAACAGCAGUUAAACUUGUCUUGACCCAUGGAAGGCACCAGAAGAACUGAAUACACCAGCCAAUUUUUAUUUCUUUCUAGUCAGCUUGUGAAAAAAGGAUGUGGAUACCAAUGUCACAUGGACCUUCACCUACUACAAUCUGGGAAGGAGGCCAAGAACAACCUUUUCAUUGGCCUUUGAUGGCUGUGCUUUCUAUCAAGCCAAGGAAAAUUGCAAAAGGACACUCAAAAAGUGAAUGUAUUUCUGUGUUUAAAAAAAUUGACACUGAUUAUUUUUGUAAACAAAGUCUCAAAGAAAAUCCCUGAUAAGAUCCAUGACAAGCGAUAUUCACAUAAUUUAUGCAUACAAAAUGUAUCCAGUAUCUAUGUUCUGCACACCUUUAUUGCUAUACCAUAAAAUUUUUUAAGAUACUAUGAAAAACAUAAUAUGGAGCCUUUGCAUUAGUAUUCAGUGUUCAAUUUCUGAAGUUUUUUAUAUUUUCUCUCUCCUGCCGGUUAGUAAAUAUGCUACAUUUCCUCCUAACACUGGAACUUCUUUGGUGAAAGAGAGAGAGCACAUCUUAGCAACUGUGUCAGAAAUUGGCCUGAUUCACCAGCUGGCUCUGAAGAAUCCCUCUGGCAUUCUAGCAUGGUUAAGGUGUAGGAUGUCAGGAUCACACUUAUAGCAUUUAAUAUUUAGAAUGAUUAUUAUUUAUAUACUGCUUCAAAUUAUUGGAAAAAUCUAUUUAGAUAUAACAGAGAACAUAAAGGCUAUCUGUUCCCUUAUGAAUGGGUAGUCAGAGUAGAAGUGAAAUACCUUAGAUCAGUUGACAUUUCUGUUUUGGCAACUGAUUCAUGCCCCAAAAAUGAAAUCUCCCAAAAUAGAGGAAGUAGGAUAGAGCAUGCAAGAUUUGUGCCCAGUCUGCCAUGUCUAAGUCUACACAGCUGCAUAAUACUAACUGCAUAGCUUAUGAGAACAUAACAGUGCUUAAUUAAACCUUAGCUAACACUUUCCACAGUCAAAAACUUUACAAAAUUAAUCUUUAUUAUCUGUAAGUUAUUGGCAUAUCAUAAUUUUACGAAUUGAAAUACAAUUAGUUGAUUUUCUUGACACAAAUGACUACAGAGUUGUAAGACAUCAGGAUAGAAAAUUGACUGCGGUGGUUUAUACUCAAAGCCAGAGACGCUUAAUACAGCCUGUAGUGCUUAUGUUCCACUAGACCUCUCCCUAUCUUCUUACUCCCCAAAAGGCUUUUAGUACAUAUGGCAACAGCUUCCCAUGUUGUUUAUAAAUGGCAAAAUGAACAUGACUUGACCAUGCAACUUAAAUUCAAUCAAGAAGGCCCAUCAUUUUG